UAUAUUUCUCCACAUCCACUGAGGAGAGGAGAGGACAACACAACGAGCAGAAUCCAAGGGGAGGACUGGAUGUGGAGUCGACGGUGACGGGAACCUCCCUCUACUGAACUGAAUGUGUCCUCAUCAUCUUGUCAGUUUAAGGUGCUCUGCCAGCUGCAAUCACUACCAUGGAGGCUGCAGAUGUCCCACCAGUCCCUGCUACACCAGUUCUAGAGUCUAGACCAGGAUGCUGCAGGGUGGAGGAGGUGGAAAGGAGGAAGAAGAACAGAGCAAAAACAGGACUUUAACCUCAAAUUGAAGAAAACAACAUAUCAGUGAAUAACUUGGGGACAAGACCGACAAUAAGGUCCUUAUUUCAGAAUAAAAACAAGGAGAAAACCGAAUGGAAGAAGGAAGUAAAUGUUGCUGUAGAUAGACGGCUACAUAUUAAAACAUUUCUGUUUUAAUAGUCAGACAGUUCCCAGUAAGACAGUUCCCAGUCAGACAGUUCCCAGUAAGGUAGUUCCCAGUGAGAUAGUUUCCAGUAAGGUAGUUCCCAGUCAGACAGUUCCCAGUAAGGCAGUUCCCAGUGAGACAGUUUCCAGUGAGACAGUUCCCAGUGAAACAGUUCCCAGUCAGCCAGU